rnacentral:lncRNA from 10 species
GCGGAGCGGGCUGCGUCAGGUGGCUGGCCGGCGCGGCGCUCCCCUGCUCUCUGGCUCCGGGCUGCGGCGCGGCGGCUGGAGCGAGCCCCUGUCCCGGCGCGGGGCGGCGGCGGGCGGCCGGCAGGCGCUGCCUUGCGUGUGAGUGCACCUCACUCACAUGUGCUGGAGAAUCUGGUAAAAGCACCAUUGUGAAGCAGAUGAGGAUCCUGCAUGUUAAUGGGUUUAAUGGAGAGGGCGGCGAAGAGGACCCGCAGGCUGCAAGGAGCAACAGCGAUGGAAUAUAAUAUCCCUAGAUGAUGGCUACAGUUUCUCAUCUUCCCGGCUAUGUCCUAUCACAAUUUGCAUGCUGGAAUUGCUCGGUCUUAGGAACUUCUAAUAAGAAUACUAUUCUGUUAUCUGAGGGGGGAGGGGGGAUGGGGCCCCUGCUACCUGACCUUAAACGAUGAUUGAAAAAACGAAAAAUGAACUGAAAUCCUUAAUUGGCAGAAAUGUAGUAUGACAACUAUCCAAAAAGGCAUCUCUAUAAGAAAUGACUAAUUGACAAUCUGCUGUACCAAAAGUUGGCAUUUGAGCAAGAUAUGACAAGUCCUUAGUGAGCAACCUACUGUGUACUAGAUGUCCUGCUAAACCCUUGAACCCUACUAAUACCUUGGCCUGCACGUCUCUCUCACUCUGUUCUGCAAGUCAAUAUAAGUAUUAACAUUCGUGAUAAAUAAAAAUUCUCUGCAUGUUUCAGC